rnacentral:rRNA from 1 species
GAAUAUUGGACAGUGGGCGCAAGCCUGAUCCAGCCAUGCCGCGUGCAGGAAGACGGCCUUCUGGGUUGUAAACUGCUUUUACCAGGGGAUAAAAUGACCGUGCGCGGUUAAUUGAAGGUACCUGGCGAAUAAGCACCGGCUAACUACGUGCCAGCAGCCGCGGUAAUACGUAGGGUGCAAGCGUUGUCCGGAUUUAUUGGGUUUAAAGGGUGCGUAGGCGGGCUAUUAAGUCAGUGGUGAAAUCCAGCAGCUUAACUGUUGAUGUGCCAUUGAUACUGGUAGCCUUGAGUACAGAUGAGGUAGGCGGAAUUGACAGUGUAGCGGUGAAAUGCAUAGAUAUUGUCAAGAACUCCGAUAGCGAAGGCAGCUUACUGGGCUGUAACUGACGCUGAUGCACGAAAGUGUGGGGAUCAAACAGG